rnacentral:rRNA from 1 species
AUUGAACGCUGGCGGCAUGCUUUACACAUGCAAGUCGAACGGUAACAGGCCGCAAGGUGCUGACGAGUGGCGAACGGGUGAGUAAUGCAUCGGAACGUGCCCAGUCGUGGGGGAUAACGCAGCGAAAGCUGUGCUAAUACCGCAUACGAUCUAUGGAUGAAAGCGGGGGACCGUAAGGCCUCGCGCGAUUGGAGCGGCCGAUGUCAGAUUAGGUAGUUGGUGGGGUAAAGGCCUACCAAGCCGACGAUCUGUAGCUGGUCUGAGAGGACGACCAGCCACACUGGGACUGAGCAACGGCCCAGACUCCUACGGGAGGCAGCAGUGGGGAAUUUUGGACAAUGGGCGCAAGCCUGAUCCAGCAAUGCCGCGUGCAGGAAGAAGGCCUUCGGGUUGUAAACUGCUUUUGUACGGAACGAAACGGUCCGGGUUAAUACCCUGGGCUAAUGACGGUACCGUAAGAAUAAGCACCGGCUAACUACGUGCCAGCCGCCGCAGUAAUAC